CUCACAGAUGGGUGCUGCAAAGACUGAAGAGGCAUCCAAGGGCAUGCUGAAGACAGAGCCCGCUACUCCAGACUGCGUGCAAGAGGUAGAAAUGGAGUGAAGGAAACUAACAGCACAGCUUUCAAUGUGCACAGCUGAGGAUGUCAUCUGUGGUGCUGGGGCACAUAGUUCUCAGAUCCACUGUGAUUCAAAAGAAAGGAGGGAGGUGAGGUGCCAUCGCGGCUGGCUGAACCCCCUCCCCCAACCAGGGAAUCCUCUGGGACAUCUAUGUUGUGGUACAUUAUUGAAACAAGAAUCCUGUCGAAUUGAUGUUUCAAUCUUCAGAAAGAAACUGUCUUCUGUAUUUGAAAA